rnacentral:rRNA from 1 species
UACAGGGGGUGCAAGCGUUACUCGGAAUCACUGGGCGUAAAGAGCGUGUAGGCGGUUUAGCAAGUCUGGUGUGAAAGCCCUGGGCUCAAUCCAGGAAGUGCAUUGGAUACUGCUAGACUAGAGUAUAGGAGAGGUGAGUGGAAUUCCCGGUGUAGAGGUGAAAUUCGUAGAUAUCGGGAGGAACAACAGAGGCGAAGGCGACUCACUGGACUAUUACUGACGCUAAGGCGCGAAAGCGUGGGAGCAAACAGGAUUAGAUACCCUGGUAGUCCACGCUGUAAACUAUGGGUACUAGAUGUCGGGAGUUCUUACCCUCUCGGUGUCGCAGCUAACGCAUUAAGUACCCCGCCUGGGAAGUACGGUCGCAAGAUUAAA